AACCUUAUGGACCUGCGGGCGUAUACCUGCGGAGGGAUCAUUAAUAAAUGUUACUUCGGUAACUUAAUUAAUCCCUAACACCUGUGCAUCUUGUCGCUUCGGCGUCAUUUUAUAAACAUCAGUGUAAUGAAUGUAAAGUAUUAUAACAAAUACAACUUUUAACAAUGGAUCU
rnacentral:misc_RNA from 1 species